rnacentral:lncRNA from 1 species
CAUGUGACCAAGCCUGAUUCAAAAUAGGCUGGAGCAAGGAGGAGCAGCAAACAUAAAUGACAAAAUUGGGGUCUGGACGUGUGCAAGGACUUUUCCAAAGUCAGCUGGAAAGGAGCUGCUUAGCUGAGAGGUUCUGGCUCCAGAGUCUCCUGUGAAGUUGCAGUCAAGAUGUCUGCUGGGACCCCAGUCAUUUGAAGCCCUGUCUGGGGCAGGAGAAUCUAGGUCCAAAAUGGCCGUUGCAGGAGUCCUUAUCCACACCAUGUGGGACCUCUUCAUAGAUGUUCGAGUGUCCUCAUGGCAUGGCCACUGGCUUUCCCCAAAGUAAGCAGUCCAAAAGAGGGUAAGACAGAGCCCACACUGUCUUUUAUGAAUUAGCCUUAGAAGUCUAACACGGUUACUUCCACCACAUUCAUUAGUCGUUAGGUACAGCUCACAUUCAUGGGGAGGAAAAUCAGGGCCUGUCUUUAGAUAGGAGAUGUAUCAAAGAAUUUGUGGACAUAUUUUAAAAUCACAGCACUACUCUUGAUGUACUAAGUCAGUGACUCCCCCAGGAGUCUCACAGAGAAUUGACUCCUUGCCCACCUAUACUACCUUUGUGGGUAGAGACUCCAGUAGUGUGCUGGUUAAUGUUCAACCAGUGGCUUUCUAGAAAACAAAAUGUAUGGAUACAUAUAUAUGUUCUAAGUUUUACUGAUAUGAAGAAUGUGUAGCACAGAAUUUAUAAAUAAUAAAAUAUACAGUAUUAUUUAUUGUAAAUUCCAUAAAACCUGUUGUUUUUCACAAAAGGUUUUAGUUUAUUUUUCCCAAAUGCUUGUAUUGGUAACAUUUUCUGUAUUACCUUUUUAUGUCCAGACAAUCAACAAAACUGAAAAAGCCCAGCCUUGUAGCAUUUGCCAGUUAUUGUGUAAAUGUCCCCACUAUGGUGGAUUUCAGGUUACCACUAUGAUAUCACAGAAUGCAGAAUUGGAAGGAGAUUCACAGCAGCACCCCAUUAUACUAUAUUUUCACCAUACAGAUGCAGUCGAUGUAAAUUACCUGAGGAGCAUAAAUAAUAAUAAAAUGAAGUUAAAUAAUUCGGAAAUGAUUUUGAAAAUUGUGUUGGUUUUUAAUGUAAGUUUAUAUGUCAGCUUUAAUAAAAUCUGUCUUUAACAACUAGCUUGAAGAAUUCUUGAAAAAUUAAUAAUCAGCUCUCAUAGGCUAGUGACAACUGGCUUCAGUGCACCCCUGACUAGAAACACCUUUGCUUUCCACCACAUGUGGAAUUCCCAGUAUUUCAACAAUCAGAAUUGAGCUUAUGAGCCAACCAAGAAAAAUAACAUCUUAUAUAAGAGACAGCAAUUUGAGAGAGGAAUAUCAGUCAGAAGAAACAAGGGGAAAGUCGAACUUGUAAAAGAGAGAUGAAAAUUUGAAUUUUUUUAAAGGCAUCCUUAAGCAUAUUUAAGUACAACACAAAAAGUUAAAGAAUUUAGUAGAUAAAUAGAAAGAUGAGAUGAUUACCACUGAGACACAGAUCAAUGAUCUGGAAGAUAAAAACAAAUCAUAAAAAUAAAAGUAUCUUGAAAUUUUGCAAAGUACAUCAUAAAUCAAUGCAUCAGAGAUUAUGUGUCAUGACAAAAAAAUUUAUACUCAGAAUGAUAUGUCACUGCUUACUAUGCAAAUAUUUUCUAUUUCUCCUAGCUUCAAACUAUGCAUAUGGGCCAGGCGCGGUAGCUCAUGCCUGUAAUCCCAACACUUUGGAAGGUCAAGGUGGGCAGAUCAUUUGAGGCCAGGAGUUUGAGACCAGCCUGGCCAACAUGGUGAAACUCCGUCUCUACUAAAAAAUACAAAAUAAUUAGCUGGGUGUCGUGGAGCAUACCUGUAAUCCCAGCUGCUCCGGAGGCUGAGGCACGAGAAUCGUCUGAACCCAGGUGAUUCUGCACUCUACUUGGGCUCUGUCUCAAAACAACAACAACAGCAACAACAAAAACUGUGGUAUUUUUAAUGAACUAAAUAUUAAUCUGCUAACACAGCAUAGGUUUUAUGAUUACUGCAAUUCAAAAGUCAUAAUAAAUUUUAAAACAAAUCCUCCUGUACCUGUUGUGGUGCAUGCAGAAACUUUUCCUGUUCAACACACUUAUAUGGCACUAUAUAGGGAUAUACCAAAUAGCUCAGGUACAUAGUGAAUACAACUUUAACACUUAUAUUGAAAUGCUAAUCUUACUUGCCAAUAUUAGUGGCACAUUAGCAUAAUUUAACUUUUAUAAAAUUAUGGAAAACAGUUUAAAAUUAUUCUCCCUAAUAUUAGCAAAUUGCAUUAAUGGCAUGUACCGUGUGCCAGUUUGUUUCCAAAUAAACAAAAUGUACCUUGAUAUGCCACUUCAGAGCCAGCAGAGGGAGCUCAUACUUUUUUAUUGUUUUCAACUUACUGAAGAAAAUUUGCUUUUAAAAGCUACUGUGUUAUAACCAAUGAGAACCAAGAAAAAGGAAAAAAAAAAAAAAGCUACUGGAUUCUGAAAAAUAAUGUAGUUGUUAUUUAAAUAAUAAAAAUGUAUUAGUAAACAAAAAAGUCAUACUUUAGGUUGAAAUAAUAAAUCAAUUCUAAAUAAAAAGAUAUUAAUGAUAUUUUAUGUAAAAAUGUCAAUUAAAACUACAUAAUUUCAAGGUUUUUUUUUUCUUUUUCUUUUAUUAUAAUUUUUUUAGAGACAAGAGUGUCGCUCUGUCACCCAGGCUGGAGUGCAGUGAUGUGAUCAUAGCUCACUGCAACCUCAAACUCCUGGGGUAAAGCAAUCCUCCUGCCUUAGCUUUCUAAGCAGCUAGGACUACAGAUGCAUUCCACUAUGCCUGGCUAAUUUUAAAAUUUUUUUGUAGAGACAGGGUCUUGCUAUGUUGCCCAGACUAGUCUCAAACUCCUGGCUUCAAACAAUCCUCCCACCUCAGUCUCCUGAGUUGGGGUUACAUGUGUGAGCCACUGCACUCAUCUGCACUCAGCUAUUCAAUUUAUUUUUCUAAUAGCCUUUACUAAAAAAAAGAAAUGUUUGUAACAGAGAUUUCUGGGGUAAACUAAAAUGGAAACCUUCCAGCUACAAGCAUAAAACGUAACAGAUAAAAAAUGACAAAUAUGACACACUUCAAAUUUAAUUCUUACACAUGAAAUUAAACACAUAAUUUAAAUACAUUCCCAUUCACUCAAUUCUCAGCCCUUCCAAAGACACAGAUAAAUGCCAUUAUUAGUUUCUUCUUCUUUUUUUUUUUCUUUUUUUAUUUUUUGAGACAGAGUUUUGCUCUUGUUGCUCAAGCUGGAGUGUAAUGGUGCAAUUUAGGCUUACUGCAGCCUCCAUCUCCUGGUUCAAGUGAUUCUCCUGCCUCAGCCUCCCGAGUAGCUGGGAUAA